CCAAUGAUUGAGGGCCCUGGGCACCCUCCUUCUGCUCCUGUGGGUAGAAGAGAACCCUUCGGUCACAUGGAUGGUCAAUUUGGUCCAAGAAGACCCCCACCUGAAACUUCCACACGAUUUUCUGGCCCUGAACGUGGACUUCCACCUCCAUUCAGAGCAGAUGUUGGAGAAUGUGCCCCACCAUUGAUUUCUAGUGGCCCAAGGACUUCCUCGCCUAGCAUUCCAUUGGAUGACUCGGUAAGUCAGCGAGAUGGUUUGAUAACUAGUAAUACAACAUAAGUUGUCUCUUCUUGUAUCUCUGUCCUGUAUUUUUUCUUUCUUCAUUCACUUUUUCCUCUUCUGUUCAAAAGCAAAUCCCUGUUGAACCUCAGGCUUUAUCUUCUUCCCCACCAAAAGAACCAGCUACUGUGAGUAUACAGAGCAGGGUUGCAUGGUGUAUGUAACUAAUUGUGGGGACUGAUAUGCUUUAUAAAAAUGUAUGUAUUUAUAUGGGGAGCACACCAGAAAUGUGGAUUAUAACAUACACCACUAACGGAAGAGGGCAUGGUUCAGCAGCUUUUCCCAAGUGCACCUGCUUUGUUUAAAUUAAGCCAAGUAAUUGAUUUUUUUUAAUUCAUUUUUUUAGAUGAACUCUAAAGCUGAAGAUGCACCAUCAUUUCCAGGGGCUCCGAUCAUGAAUUCACCAGUGACCGGUCCUGCACAUCCACCACCAUCAAAAGGAUUUGCCCCUCCACCAAUGACCAGACCUCCCAACGGAUAUGGCCCUCUGCCCUUCGCUGGGCAUCCUCUACCUGUCCCAGGCCCUCGCUACAGACCUCCACAUCCAGUUAGAGGACCCUAUGGUCGCAUGCUAUAUGGGCCUGCUCCGCCCUGGAGUGGUUGUGGACCACCUCCACCGCACAGAGACUAUUGGCCAGGACCUCCCCCUCCAUUUGGCUUAAGGGAUUUUGCACCUGGAAUGAGAGACUUGCCCUCUGGUUUUCCACCACCACAUGGACCUUGGGACUAUCCCUUUCCACCCAAAAACAUGCUUCCUGGGACUGUUCCUCCACCAGGCAUGAGAGACUAUCCAGGCCCACAAGGUCCACCACCACAGAUGGGUCCCAGAGACUUCAAAGCAGGCCCCCCAGUACCACAACAGAUGAGCCCAAGGGACUAUCCUCCAGGCCCUAGUUUGCCAACACAACAGAUGCAACCCGGAGACUUCUCAAAUUCACAGAAUGGGCCAUAAAUUUCACCUAAUGGUGGUAUUUUAUUCAACUAAGCAGAGCAAAAAACUG